AAAAAGUAACAAAGUAAAUUUAAAAAAAAAAACCAAAAAACGUUCAUAACAAAACACUUUCUCUCUAUCUUUUUGCGCCUCCCUUUUUGCCUCAGCAAUAUUGUACAACGCCUCCAUCUCAGACCAAACCCUCUCUGCACCUCCCUCUUUGCCUCAUUGGUGCUUACAAACUCGAUCCUAAAUAUAAAACUCGGUGGCGAAAAACCCUAGCCUCAAAUCCUCUGCCUCACGCCUUCUCUCCUUGCCAUAGAAUUCUCACAUUCUGACUAAUGCCACUUCCAACUAGCUGGAAUCGUUGCAGAACCUGUGACGCCCUCAAAUCCGAGUACUUGAAACUCGAACUCGGUGCUUCACGAUACCAUUUUUUUGAGCGGAAUAAUAACAAUAAUAUAAAUAUCAAAUUUAAUUUACAUAUAUCAGAGUUGUCUAAAUCCCAAGUACGCGGCCUUUAAUACAUUACAAUACAUGAUAAUUAAUAAAUAUCAUUGUCUUAAUAAAGUCUAGCUAUUACAGAAGAUACCACAACUUAUUCAGUCAGCUUUCCUUUCCCUUUGUUCUUGGCAGAACCUUCAGGUUGAUCAUGCUUAGCGAAAAACAUUUAAAUUUAAAGCAAGAAUGAGCAUUUGAUUGCCCAGCAAAUAAUAACAACAAUAAUUAUUAGCUGAAAAGAUUAAAUGUUUUCUUUGAAUGACACUUGUGUCGGCGUGUUGCGAACUCUGCAGAGUCGAAGAAGAAGAACUAAGAAGUCGAAACUCGGAAGACCAGAGCACCGCCGGCUGCCCCCCCACCGUUCCCGAUCUGAAGGGUUUUACACUAUUGUACGUGCCUUAUUAUUUGAACCUCACAAAAUCCGAUAAAAUUGAAGGACUUUGAAAUAUAUAUCUAGAUCUGAUCAGGUCUUGUUAAAUGCACAGUGUAUAAUUGUUAAUGCACAUAAAAUUAUUCAAAAUACAAGAACAAAUGAUCUUAUAUUCUAAAACGGAGGUAAUAGCAAUGUCCAUGUUGGAAGAAACAACUUACUCAGCUAAAAUGCAACGCCCAUGCCAACCUUCUAUAUUUUGGUAACUAUAUAUAAUGGAAUAUAAUUAUUAAAAAAUAUAAAAAAUUAUUUUGGAAUUGGUACUUCAAGGCCAAAUAUUCACUUACAAAUUAAAUAUAAUAUUGCUCUACUAAUUAAAUUAAAACAACUAUUAGAGUUUUGGUGAUUUCUCAACCAAAUUAUGAGCAUGUAUGCAUCUGAGAAAUACAUCAAAUAUAUAGCUAAGAAAAGAGAUAGCUGUCUUACCGGCUUCCAUGGCAUUGCGAGCAGCAACCUCUAAAAUCAUUAAUUAAACAACUGAUACUAUUUAUUUUGCUCCGAAAUUAAUUAGACUUGCAUUUAAAUUUAAAAGAAUUUCUUCAUUCAUGUAAGAGAAGUAGUGUUUGUAAAAUGUUUGGUAUGCCAGGUAAGAAUAUAUAUUAGUACUUUUGAAUUGAGGAAGAAAAUAUGAACAAAUGAAACAUGAGGGGUAAAGUAAAAAUAAUCCAUUAUGAAUAAUUAAAUCUUACCGCAUGAAUAUAAAUUGCUUUCCCAGUCAAAAAUCAAUUUAUUUUGAUUAUACUCAGGAGAUACGUGGCCCGUAUGCCAAAG
rnacentral:lncRNA from 1 species